rnacentral:rRNA from 1 species
CUUAUAGUUUUGUAAGGUCUAGCCUGCCCACUGAUGAUUUGAAGGGCCGUGGUAUACUGACCAUGCGAAGGUAGCAUAAUCAUUUGCCCCUUAAUUAGGGGCUAGAAUGAAGGGCUGGACGAGGGACUUCCUGUCUCUUUUGUUAACUUGAAAUUAAUUACUGGGUGAAAAAGCUCAGGUUAUCUUGAAGGACGAUAAGACCCUAUGGAUCUUUAUAAAUUUACUUGAAGAGUUUGGCUGUUAGAAUCUUAGGGAAGUUUUAUUGUGUUGGGGCGACACUGAGAGGAGAAUAAUCCCUCAGUCUACUGAAACACAUAUUUGUGGUUAAAGAUCCUUGAUUGAAAUUAGAUCAAGUUACCCUAGGGAUAACAGCGUUAUAUCUUUUGAGAGUUCAUAUCGACAAAGAUGAUUACGACCUCGAUGUUGGUUCAGGGAACCUACAAGGUGCAGCAGUUUUGAGAGGAGGUCUGUUCGACCUUUAAAUCCCUA